UACAGAGGUCUCAAGCGUUGUUCGGAUUCAUUGGGCGUAAAGGGUGCGUAGGCGGCGCGGUAAGUCGGGUGUGAAAUCUUGGAGCUUAACUCCGAAACUGCAUUCGAUACUGCCGUGCUUGAGGACUGGAGAGGAGACUGGAAUUUACGGUGUAGCGGUGAAAUGCGUAGAUAUCGUAAGGAAGACCAGUGGCGAAGGCGGGUCGUCUG
rnacentral:rRNA from 1 species